UGUUGUUUUAUCAAUUUUCCUUUGUGGGUGUGUGUUUUUCGAAGGAAAGAUUCAUUUUUUAUAGUGGGAAAGUGAAAAAGGAAUUGAUUCUUAUCUGGGUUUUGAUGCGAUUGUUGUUUGGUGUUCUUUAUGAUGGCAAUGAUGUCGACCUUAUUAAGAGUGUUUUUUUGAAGUGAUAUGGAAAGUAGUCGUUACUCUGUUACAACAACAGCAUCAUCAACAACAUCUUCUUCAUCAACAAUAACAACCUACAAUAACAAGAAAAACAUGUCGCUUUACAUUGGUCGUGAGGCUUCCAAGGUUGUUUUUUUAUUAAUAAUUUCGACAUUUUUAAUGUUUACUAUAUACCAUUUUUUCAUUUUGGUAUGGUUUGUUUUUAUAGAAUGUAUAAAUGUUUGUAUUUGUAGCUAUGGAAGAGAGUUUGUGCAGAGACAACCACAGAAAUUAACCUCCUUGUGGAGAAUUGGAAGUACCUUCUCGCUGGUUUAGUUUUUCAGGUUUCAUUUUUUGACCCUUUUCAUUUUUUGAUUAAAUUUUUAUGAAUUGUUUCACUGUUUUUUGUUAUUAUGGUUACCCUUUUGUGAGAAAAAUGGAAAGGUUAUUUUUUGUUUUGUUUUUCCUUUUCUGUGUUGAUGUUAAAGUAGUUAAAGUAGUUUUCACAUUUGGUUGUGAGAACGUUACUUGAACGUUACAAAAAGUUUGUUUUCUCUUAUGUUGAGUUGGCAAAUUUAGAGAUUUAUUGCUUUCUAGAUCAGAAACAAGAAUUUUAACAAUUUUUUAAGUUCGUCUCCAAUAAAAUAAUCUACUUUGGAAUAAAUUGAUCUUCGCCUCAUAUAUAUAUAUAUAUAUAUAUAUUUAGUUUAAUUAUUUAUAAAACUUAAAUCAUAUAUAAUGUCAAAUUAAACUUUUAUUUAUACAUAUAAAAAUAUUUGAAGCAAAUUGUUUAAAAAAAAUAUUUAGUUGCUCUUUUAUUCUCUUUAUUUUUAUCAGAAAUUAGUCUCUAUAUUUUAAAAUAUGACAUAUUUAGUUCUUCAUUCUUAUUUUUAUCUAAAAAUGACAACGUAACAUCUAGAAAUUAGUCUCAUAUAUAUAUUUAGUUUAAUUAUUUAUAAAACUUAAAUCAUAUAUAAUGUCAAAUUAAACUUUUAUUUAUACAUAUAAAAAUAUUUGAAGCAAAUUGUUUAAAAAAAAUAUUUAGUUGCUCUUUUAUUCUCUUUAUUUUUAUCAGAAAUUAGUCUCUAUAUUUUAAAAUAUGACAUAUUUAGUUCUUCAUUCUUAUUUUUAUCUAAAAAUGACAACGUAACAUACUUUAAAUAACACGACAUAUGAUACAAUGAUGUAGAAUAAUUAAUAUUUAUGAAAUCGAACAAAACACUUUGCAAACUUAACUUUCAACUUCAUAAAAUUUUUAUUGUUUAUAUUUUGAUUAAUGAAAUAUGAAUAAUUAAUGUAUCCAUGUAAUUCUAUAUCAUGAGAUUGUAUGCCACAAUAUUUUAAAUAUGUCAGAUUAUCACUUUUUUAGUUAAAAAAUUCGAGAAAUAAACUAAAACUAUUGACUUUUAAAAUAAGUAGAUCAAUUCCAUAAAAUAAUAAAAAUAAAAGGACCAAAAUUACAAUUAAAUCUAAAAAAAAAUUUUGAAGCACAUUUUAAAAUUGAAUAAUCCUAGCAAUACUCUUUAAAACUCUAUUUUUAACACUUACAUUUUUAUUAUGUGAAAUAUGUGUAUAUCUCACCACUUUACAUGAAACUCUCAUUCAUUUCUUUAGAAAAAAAAAGUUUUCAUCUAAAAUAAGAAAUUGAUAAAUUAAAUAAAUUAAUUAUUAAUUUUAUCUAUUUUAGAGAAAACAAAUAUUGUUCUCCUCUUCAAUAUGCACUCGAAACAAGUCUUAUAUGAACACAAAUCCAAAUAACAAAUAUUUAAAUACACAUUUAUAAAAAUAAUUAAUAAAAAAAUAAUUUACUCAUAUUACUUAAUUAUUUUUAUAAAUAUUUGUGUACGAAUAUUGUACUCAAACAAAUAUUUCUCUGUCAACUGGUCUAAAAUUCUUUUUGGUUAAAAAAAAAAAAACUAGUAGCGCUGGCAUAUUUGAAAUAUUAAUUUAGUUUGUCAUCUCUCACCACCUUCCCAUCUUUUUCGUUUUUCCCAUUCAAAAUCAAAUCGUGAUGGCGAAAAUUCAAACACCAAACUCAUAUUUUCUUUUUAACACAAAUAAAAAAACUAAAAAAAAAAAAGAAUAUAAAAAAAGCAAGUUGGUAUUUGUAUAUAUAGUGUGUUUAUUUAUUCUCCUCCUCUUCUCAACUGUCUCCUCCGUGUUCAACUCGCGUGCAUUGCAGUCAGAGAGAGAGACCCAAGCGAGAAAGGGAAGAGAAUCCAGAGAGAGAAAAAAGAAAGCACCCAGAGAAGACCAGGAAGAGAGAGAAAUCCCCUUUUCACCAUUUCAAUUUUCACACAAAAUUCCCUUUUUUAUUUUUGGGCAUUUUCUUAUUAUCAUCAUCAUCAUCGUUAUCUAGAUUCUCUCGAUCUUAAUCAUUUCUGGGUCUCACUUUUUCUCCUCAGAUCCCCUCUUCUGUUCUUCACAAAAACUUUGAAUCGUUUUUUUUUUUUGAAUUAAGGGUUGUGUUGUUUUAUCAAUUUUCCUUUGUGGGUGUGUGUUUUUCGAAGGAAAGAUUCAUUUUUUAUAGUGGGAAAGUGAAAAAGGAAUUGAUUCUUAUCUGGGUUUUGAUGCGAUUGUUGUUUGGUGUUCUUUAUGAUGGCAAUGAUGUCGACCUUAUUAAGAGUGUUUUUUUGAAGUGAUAUGGAAAGUAGUCGUUACUCUGUUACAACAACAGCAUCAUCAACAACAUCUUCUUCAUCAACAAUAACAACCUACAAUAACAAGAAAAACAUGUCGCUUUACAUUGGUCGUGAGGCUUCCAAGGUUGUUUUUUUAUUAAUAAUUUCGACAUUUUUAAUGUUUACUAUAUACCAUUUUUUCAUUUUGGUAUGGUUUGUUUUUAUAGAAUGUAUAAAUGUUUGUAUUUGUAGCUAUGGAAGAGAGUUUGUGCAGAGACAACCACAGAAAUUAACCUCCUUGUGGAGAAUUGGAAGUACCUUCUCGCUGGUUUAGUUUUUCAGGUUUCAUUUUUUGACCCUUUUCAUUUUUUGAUUAAAUUUUUAUGAAUUGUUUCACUGUUUUUUGUUAUUAUGGUUACCCUUUUGUGAGAAAAAUGGAAAGGUUAUUUUUUGUUUUGUUUUUCCUUUUCUGUGUUGAUGUUAAAGUAGUUAAAGUAGUUUUCACAUUUGGUUGUGAGAACGUUACUUGAACGUUACAAAAAGUUUGUUUUCUCUUAUGUUGAGUUGGCAAAUUUAGAGAUUUAUUGCUUUCUAGAUCAGAAACAAGAAUUUUAACAAUUUUUUAAUACUAAUCUUCUAUGCGUUAUUCUGCAACUGUGUGAUGAUUUUGCAUUUUACAUG
rnacentral:lncRNA from 1 species